rnacentral:rRNA from 1 species
UACGUAGGGGGCUAGCGUUGUCCGGAAUCAUUGGGCGUAAAGAGCGUGUAGGCGGUCCGGUAAGUCUGCUGUGAAAGUCGGGGGCUCAACCCUCGAAUGCCGGUGGAUACUGUCGGGCUAGAGUGCGGAAGAGGCGAGUGGAAUUCCUGGUGUAGCGGUGAAAUGCGCAGAUAUCAGGAGGAACACCUAUUGCGAAGGCAGCUCGCUGGGACGUAACUGACGCUGAGACGCGAAAGCGUGGGGAGCAAACAGG